GCUUUUUCUUCAUUGCUUUGUGAACAGUGGACCGUUUAAGUUAGGAAUUCGUGUAUUUUAGUGGGAAAGGAAGACGAACUGUUAUAUAUUUUGAUACUGUGAAAGUGUCAGUACCUGAACAAAUUAAAUUAAUACCAAAAUCCUGAGAAUCCUAUGUGCAAAUGUUUCAAGAAGAGAAAACUUUCAAGCUCUGGCAGAGGACAGAUGGAGAACAGUUGCUGUGUAAUGAGUGCAAGAAAUGAUUGAAAAAACAAUUGACAGAGUACUAGCAAAGCUUUGGGAGCUUAACCAGACCAUCCAGCUGUUAUCCAUGCAGUGACUUAACCCAGUUGUCAUUUCCUGCUGUAGAAUGUUCCCAAGGAUAUUCAAGAUCUUUGGUUGAAAUUAAGUUUAUAAGGAAAGGUCCUGGAAGGGAAAUAGUGCAUUGAAUGACCCACCCAAGUCUACAGCAUGGAAGUCGAGUCUUCAUCUGUAUUACCAAUGCCAAGGGAACCAUUGAGAAUUUUACCAUUGAACGAUGACGUUUAAUCCGUCUUCUUGAAGACUCUAGCUGUUGAUAAUGUGGAUGAACCUCGCGGAAGAUAUCUCUCUGUUCAUCUUCACUGAUCGCUUGCCUGUUGGAAAAUUAGAAAUUUAGAGAUCGAGGGCUUUUAAAAUAACAGAUAGCAUAAACAUUUAGUAGAACUAUAUUUCUAGUCUUUUUAAUAUAUAUUAAGUUGAAUAAUA